GACGAACGCUGGCGGCGUGCUUAACACAUGCAAGUCGAACGGAAAGGCCCUGCUUUUGUGGGGUGCUCGAGUGGCGAACGGGUGAGUAACACGUGAGUAACCUGCCCUUGACUUUGGGAUAACUUCAGGAAACUGGGGCUAAUACCGGAUAGGAGCUCCUGCUGCAUGGUGGGGGUUGGAAAGUUUCGGCGGUUGGGGAUGGACUCGCGGCUUAUCAGCUUGUUGGCGGGGUAGUGGCUUACCAAGGCUUUGACGGGUAGCCGGCCUGAGAGGGUGACCGGCCACAUUGGGACUGAGAUACGGCCCAGACUCCUACGGGAGGCAGCAGUGGGGAAUAUUGCACAAUGGGCGGAAGCCUGAUGCAGCAACGCCGCGUGCGGGAUGACGGCCUUCGGGUUGUAAACCGCUUUCGCCUGUGACGAAGCGUGAGUGACGGCAAUGGGUAAAGAAGCACCGGCUAACUACGUG
rnacentral:rRNA from 1 species